rnacentral:rRNA from 1 species
UACGUAGGUGGCAAGCGUUGUCCGGAUUUACUGGGCGUAAAGGGCGUGCAGGCGGUUUGUUAAGUGCAGAGUGAAAGCUCCCGGCUCAACUGGGAGAGGUCUUUGCAUACUGGCAAACUCGAGGGAGGCAGAGGAAAGUGGAAUUCCCGGUGUAGUGGUGAUAUGCGUAGAUAUCGGGAGGAACACCGGUGGCGAAGGCGGCAUCCUGGACCGACACUGACGCUGAGGAGCGAAAGCCAGGGGAGCAAACGGG